UACGUAGGGUGCGAGCGUUGUCCGGAAUUAUUGGGCGUAAAGGGCUCGUAGGCGGUUUGUCGCGUCGGGAGUGAAAACCUUGGGCUUAACUCAGGGCUUGCUUUCGAUACGGGCAGACUAGAGGUAUGCAGGGGAGAACGGAAUUCCUGGUGUAGCGGUGAAAUGCGCAGAUAUCAGGAGGAACACCGGUGGCGAAGGCGGUUCUCUGGGCAUGAUCUGACGCUGAGGAGCGAAGGUGUGGGGAGCGAACAGG
rnacentral:rRNA from 1 species